GGGCCCGUAGCUCAGUCUGGUGGAGCAUCUGACUCUUAAUCAGAGGGUCGAGGGUUCAAAUCCCUUCGGGCUCA
rnacentral:tRNA from 1 species